rnacentral:rRNA from 1 species
CAAUAGCGUAUAUUAAAAUUGUUGCAGUUAAAAGCUCGUAGUUGGAUUUCUGGUGGAAUCGCCAUGGUUGGACUAUAACUGGUUUCAAUUAGAGGCGCAUUCGGCCAUUUUUGCGCCAAACCUUUUCGACAUUAAGUUGUCAAGGGAGGGGGAGGAGCGUCGUUUACUGUGAAAAAUUAGAGUGUUUAAAGCAGGCAAUCGCUGUGAAUACAUUAGCAUGGAAUAAUAAGAUAGGACUUUGGUGCUAUUUUGUUGGUUUGCACACCAAAGUAAUGAUUAACAGGAACAGUUGGGGGGUAUUCGUAUUUAGAUGUCAGAGGUGAAAUUCUAGGAUUUUCAAAAGACGCACUUCUGCGAAAGCAUUUACCAAGGAUGUUUUCAUUAAUCAAGAACGAAAGUUAGGGGAUCAAAGAUGAUCAGAU